ACAAGCGUGGAUGAUGUGGAUUAAUUCGAAGCAACGCGCAGAACCUUACCAACCCUUGACAUCGAGAUCGCGGUUUCCAGAGAUGGAUUCCUUCAGUUCGGCUGGAUCUUAGACAGGUGUUGCAUGGCUGUCGUCAGCUCGUGUCGUGAGAUGUUGGGUUAAGUCCCGCAACGAGCGCAACCCUCGCCCUUAGUUGCCAUCAUUAAGUUGGGCACUCUAGGGGGACUGCCGGUGAUAAGCCGCGAGGAAGGUGGGGAUGACGUCAAGUCCUCAUGGCCCUUACGGGCUGGGCUACACACGUGCUACAAUGGCGGUGACAGUGGGAAGCGAACCCGCGAGGGUAAGCAAAUCUCCAAAAGCCGUCUCAGUUCGGAUUGCACUCUGCAACUCGAGUGCAUGAAGUUGGAAUCGCUAGUAAUCGUGGAUCAGCAUGCCACGGUGAAUACGUUCCCGGGCCUU
rnacentral:rRNA from 1 species